UCUAAGAGCUUCUUUGUGGUGGAAUGAGAAGGCCAUGGCCAAGGUAGCCACUGGCAAGCAAGUGUCAGUUACUCAGGAAUGGCUUUGAAACCCACCUGGCAAUGGAGUCUGCCUGGCAACAGGCUGUGAUUGGUUGGGGCAUAGACCGCCCCUUGACUAGAUUGGCUGGUCUUGGCUAGAUAAGAUGUUGUUCCAACUGUAAUAAAUGAGUCUGCGGGCUGCUCGCCUCAAGCCUGCUUUCACCCAACUCCCAGGGUCUGUGUGGUGACUCCGCACCUCUUGCCCCCACCACGCUGCUCCUCUCAGAAAUUAAUCCACUGCAACAUUGUUGAGAAAUCAACAGCAACAUUUCUUCUAGGUCUCCCAUGGGGGUGCAGGGUCCCAAGGACUUCUACUGCUUCCCCAGGCCACAGCAGAGAGCUGGAUCAGAAGUGGAACAGCUGGGUCUUGAACAGGUACCCAUAUGGAAUGCCAGCGCUUCAGGCCAGGGCCUUAACCUGCUGCGCCACAGUGCAGGCCCCAAGUGUUUUCAUCUCAGUUUAGAGGGGUGCAGAGUGAAGGCUGUGGAGCAAGCUUGGUUGAACUGCCCAGAAUCACACAGUUGAUCCCUGAUUUGGUCAAAUACUCACAUUUCCUCAACACAGAUCAAAUGCUACCAUAUGGGGAAACUGCGGCCAUCUUCAGCUCUAGAGAAGUCUCAGGGGGAAGAAAAUAUGAAAAUAAUAAGAAAGAAAUUAAUACAAUGGAAAUAUUAUAUCUCAUUUUUAUCAAUCUUCUGAGAACUCACUGUGGUUAAUGUUUUCCCUCUGCCAUGCCUCCUAACUCUACCUCCAAAAGGUUCCUGCUAAUGAACACAUUGGGAGGAACAGGUGAUGACUCAAGUUUGUAUGGAGCAUCAUCUAUGCUUCCUGGACCACGGGGCGCCCUCUGUUGGAAUAGAUUCUCCUUUCCAAUUGGGUUUGAGAGCUGCAAGAAUCAGGCAGUGAAUGUGGAGCCUGGACCUAGGAAUAAUAUCCAGACCAUUUUGUUGGCUUUGAAACACAAAGAAGCUGGCAGUGGGCUGUUUGAAUGGAGAUUAUCUGUGUGACUGGCUGUGCCUUAAAUCAGUACACCUGUUUUACUGAGUAAGUACAAGAUUUUUUGAAAACACAAUGAUAUGACUACAUAUUUUUAUUCAUGAGAGAAAACACUUAAAAUUCUAACAAGUUUAAAUAAUGCCUGAGUUUCUGAUACAGAUAAAAUAACAUGCUUAUAAAGUAGCAUACAAACACACUUAAAAGAAAUCUAUAAUUAGUUGUUUCUUCUUGUGAAUUUCAGGAUAAAUUAGAUGAAAUAUAUGAAGGUGACAAGAGAUCAUUGCCAACAUUUCUCUCCAAAGCACCUAUAUUUGUUCAUGUUUUAGAUAAUUUAAACAUUUCACAUUAUUUAGAUGAUUGUAAUAAAUGAAGGUCUCCAAAUUUUGAAUUAUUUAAAAUAAAAAUCUUAUAACUUUGCCACUUGUUUUUUCCUACAGUGUUGAAUAUAAGAAACUAAAGGAUAUAAUGAUCAUUUUAAAAACUCUGGACCAAAAUAAGACCUAUGUAGAGAAAAAUGCACAUAUAAUGUGUCCAACUCAAUAUACUCUCAUAAAUUCAACCCUUACAUCAUGAAAUAGAAAAUCAUAAACAAUUAUGGAAGACUCUCUGUUCUAUUUUUAGGUUAAAAAUCACUCACAAAGUCAACCCUACCCUCACUUCUGACAUUAUACACUUUUUGUAUGAUUUUAUUUAUUCUUUUGUGCCUUUUGACCAACCUGAAGCUUGAUUUAUAGAGAGGUAAUUUAUUCUUUCUUGUGGUUGUGAAGUUUUUCAUUAGUAAACAUAUACUUACUUUUAUUCUACUUUGAAAACAUUCUGGGAUAAUUUCCAGAUUAGGGAAAUUAUAUCAUUCAAUGAAUAUUCUAAUGUAGUUUUGUUGCUGAAUAUACACACACACAAAUGCACAUAUAUAUUUCUAAUUCUUUUUGAAUAUGGAAAAUAUAAUAUACGCAUAUAUGUAUAAUAGAGAGUCUCUGUACAAUGAAUUAUCUUCACUUAAUAUAUUAUAUCUUACCAAUUAUAAAAGAGGGUCAUUCAUUCUGAAUAAUGAAUUUAUAAUGUCUAUGGUUACAGAAUUAUUAAACUUUGUAUUUGGGAGAAGCUGAGAGGUCAUCUCCAGGAUUAAUUUGAUAGAUGAAUCACUUCACUAACAUUGUCAACAAAUAGACAGCUAGCUUCAGUUGAAUUACCUCUAGGUAAAAGACAUACACUUCCUGAAGAGGAAGCUACUUGGAUUUUUACAAAUCCCUGGCUGUAAAAUUGUAUUUCUUAUAUUAGGCAGAACUACAGCAACCACUUUUACUCUUUGCUACUAGUUCUAUCCAUAAAAGACAUGUAGACUUGAACUUAAUUUAUCUUCAGAAUGGUGAGCUCCAAAUAGAGACAGUCAUUGUGCUUCUUCAGCAUUAGCCAUCUUUCUCUCUUUUAUAUUGGUAAUUGUUUCUUGAGUCUUUACAACAACACUGAGCAAACACAGUGUAGUGCAAACACUACACUGAUACAGUCUAAUUUGUCACCAUCUCCUUUGGAUGCUGAUUUUCUUUAAAAUUUUUAAAGAUUAGAAAACUGACACAAAGAAUCAACAAAUGUUAUUUGUUGAUACAAGGGAAUUAGGUAUUUCAAAUAAUGAUUUGAUUAGAUUUUCCCAGAAUUUCUUAAAUGACCUUAUCACUUUUUGGAAACAUUAAAGUCUUUAAACAAUACCGUGUCAAAAAUCAAAAUCAAAUCUCCUAGAAAAAUCACUGAUCCAAUGAGAAUAGAACACAUACUGAAUAGAAUCAUAUUUAACAUGGUUUUUUAUGGAUGGUUUAAUUAUUUUAGCAACCGUGUUAAAUUAUUACAUCAGUUGUGAGAUGAGGCCCACCAAUGUCUUACAAUAAUUUUCAUGCAUUCAUUCAAAAAUCAUUUGUUGAACAUGUAAUGACCAAAUAACAUACCGUUGUUUCAGUUCCUGCUGUCAAGGACAAUAGAAAUGGUAAAGAAGAUAUUUUUGGUGAACUUCAAGUAUAAGACAUAAAACAAUAGCCGCAAUAUGGAUGAACAGAGACUAGCACAUAAAAGGAGCACCUAACCCAUUGUGGCUUCUUAUUCCAUGAAAUAUCAAGCCUUGGAAUGAAAAUACAAAAGAAUUGUGUCAGGGGAAAAUGCUGUUAGAUGCAUGUUGAGGAAGUGGAGAUAAUUGGAGUUUUGAGAGGAGGAUGAUUAGUGGAUCCAAAGGACAGAUUCUGAAAGGCUCCCUGGAAUACACUGUGAAUUCAGUGGGACAUCAGUAAAAUGUUUAUGAGAGAAGUGACACGAUCAUGUUGGGUGUGCCCAAAGACCCAUUAUGCCAGCUUGUCACUCCACUGUACAUUCUAUUUCAUAGGGCAGUGUAUAUAUCCUUAACAACUUCAAUUUAAACAUCAUUUCAGCAAUUAAUAGAGAAGGAAAACAAAUGAAAAAGACUUUUUUUUUCUGAACCAGAUUUUGAAAUUUUUUUCUUCUUUCCUGGCUCUCUCAUAGAUAUUAAUUUCAGACUUCAGAUAUUUGUUUAAUCUUACUGGUGUUAGGAGAUUUACUAUCUUUGAAAACCAAGUGUGAUAUAACGUUAUUUCAUAUUAAUAAUGCUGUCUGAGCCUGGUUUCUGACUUUUGGAUACUCUUUGGAAUAUGUAGACAAUCUCUGGAAAUGGGACAAGACCUUCACAGCUGUGCUUGUGUUAAGUGGUUUCAGUCCAAAAAUAAUCAUAUUCUUGUGUUACCAUAGGGCAUUGGGCUUUCUUUUGUGUUCAACAUUGAUUUGGAUCUCUAAAACUUAGUGUGCCAAGUUUGUCAUCAAACUCCUGGAACUCAAGAGAGAGAAUGGAAUUUGAGGUUAUUUUUGCAGAAACAGAACUUUUUAUUAAUAUUGGAAAAUAGCCACGUUGAUUCAAGGUAGGGUGGGAAAGCAGCCCACGUCUCUUUCAGUUUUAAACAACAUGCAAUCUCUUGCUAAGUGCUUUACUUCAAAGAGAUGAAAAUGCAGUGUUGGAGUGUCUGAAAAUCAGAGCAAGAGAGAGGUAGAAUGAUGUCUUUCCUCCAAAAACUGUCAGGCCAAUAUCCCAGCAGGCUCAUUUGCCAACUGCUCUUUGGCAUCCAUCAUAACCUGCUCUUUACAUCAGUCAAAUUAUCCAGGUGAUAAGCCCAGAACUUGAAUCUGUGCCUGCAUUUUCACAUUGGUUUGAUUGCCCUAAGUCUCCAUUACCAUUCAACAGGCUGCCACUGGUGUGAAAGGAAAGACUGAGCCAUCAAAAAAGUGGAUUAAAAACUACGUUCAGCUUUCCAGCCGGUUCAGCUUACCUGCACACUAUGCUGUCAGUGCCUGAAAUGAGAGCAUGUGCAAAAAUUGUGCCUUGUUGGUUGGCACCUUUCUUUUAUUUCUUCUCUUACUCUGUGUUACGGGUUGAAUUGCAUUCCUCCCUAAAAAUGUUGAAGUCCUAACCUCCACCACCUUGAUGUUAAAAUCCAGAGUUUGCUACUUCAUAAUGCCUCCUUAUUUGGUAAUAGUUUUGCUAUAGUUGUCCUUCAUAAAGACAAAUUUAUAAUAUAAGUGGAAAUUUGGACAUAAGAGCUCUAUGCAGAUUCUUCUGUAACAACUUCAGAGGGUACAAAGUCCUGCCAACUCCUUGACCUUGGACUUUUAGUAUCCAGAAUGUGAGUGAAUACAUUUCUGUCCUCUGAUCUAUUCAGCUUGUGAUGCUUUGUUAUAGCAUCUCCAAACUUUUAACACUGUUUUGCCAACUAUCUCUUUUCUUUUUUUAUAUUAAACUGCAUUUCAUUAGCAUUCCCAUUAAGGUGAAUGUAAAUUUUAUACCUUGGUAUCCUGGCCUGAAGAGCAGUGUGACUUUCCUCUCCAGCAUUAUUGCUCUGCCUGGAGCUGUCCUAUUAUAAAUGCUUUACUGAGUCAAAUCCAGUACUGGGUCCACGAAUCAGUAUCAGCUAGCUAAAUGGCACACACUUGGUAUUUAUGCCUGCUGUAGUGGUUCCAUUAACUCAAAAGUCCCAUAGAUCACAAUAGACCCUUCCCCAUAGCAGGCUAGAUGGACUAUUUUAGAGAGUUUUGGCAUAGCCCCUAAAUUACUUCCAACCAACAAACUAGUGUCAUAAUUCAUUUUUAGUACCCAAGUCUGGUAUAUUAUCCUUAACACUGGAAAUAAAGUUUACCAACUUGCAUGUAAGUGCCUUUAGAACUAUCAAGAUCAUCUGAGAUGAAGUUAAUCAUACCUCUAUUUGGAAGAAAUCAAAUUACUGGUUCACAACAUUCUAACAGUUGUUACGUAUUCUAUAGAGAUGUUUGAAUGUUAACUAUGUAUAGCACUCUGUGCGGAUGUUAAAAAAUAGAGUUUUUGAACAGUGAGGUCCUCUACAUAUUUAACUGAAUGAUGGAGAAAUAUUAACUCCUUCAAGAGUUGAUUAUUUGGAAUGCAUAAUAUACCUGGCCCUGUGCUAUGCAUGGUCAGUACAGUAGACUGCUCUUAGGAGCAUAACUUGUGGAAGAACAUAUUUUCAGUUCUUGAGAAACAUGUACUCUAGAAGAGGGAUGAGACAAAUGCAAAAAGUAAUUAUAUAGAAGUCAUUUGUGAAUAAAAACAUCCAAACUAGUGAAUUUCACAGGGUUCAUACAUAGGAACUGAGUGUGUGUGUGUGUGUGUGUGUGUGUGUGAGAGAGAGAGAGAGAGAGAGAGACUUUCUGUAAGGAGUUGACUCAUGUAAGUGUGAAGGCUGAAAAGUCCCCAGGAUCUGUGGUCCAAAGGCCCGAGGACCAGGGGAGCCAGUGUUGUGAGCUGCAAUCCAUGUUUGAAAGCAGGAGGAGACCAAUGUAUUGUCCCAAGACUGUUAUGCAGAGAGAAUGAAUUCUCCCUUACCCAGAUUUUUAUUUUAUUUAGGCUUUCAACAAAUUGGAUGAAGCCAACACACACAAAGGAUGGCUGGCUCUUCUCAAUUUGUUGAUUGAAAUACUAAUUUCUCCAGAAAUGCCCUCAUAGACACACCCAGAAUAAUGUUUAAAUACCUGGGCAUCCCAUGAUCCAGUGAAGGUGACAAAUAAAAUAAUCAUCACAAGUCUAUCCCUUGUCGACUUUGAACCCAUAUACAUCUCUUAUAAGACAAUUGUGGAGUCAUAAUUUCCCUAAACAUGACUCAACUGUCCUGUACACAGACAAAAAGCACCAGUCCCUUCCAGAAGAAGAAGUGAAAUCCCUGAGUGAUCUUUCUCUUUAGUAUUUUGUACUGAAAAAAUUGUGCUUUUUAAAGCACAAAAUUUAAAGCAAUUUAAUUUUGUGAUUAAAGUUAAUCACAGUUAAAUGGCUAUGGUGUAACAUGAAUACAUUCUAUGGCAUACACACACACACACAUACAUAUAUGAAUAUUCACAAUUAUAGUCUUUGUUUCUGUAACUGUUUAUUUGGGUCUAGCUGACAUUUAAAAUCAUAUUCUUCCUGUAGCAAUUUUGAAUUCAGUAAGCAUGCCAGCAGGUUGUGUUUCUUUACCUGGAAGGGAAUCAUUAGUAAAGUAAUUGAUCAUUGAUAGUGCUGUCUUAUAACUUCCCACUGACCUUGACCACAGAACAUGGAAAUAAGCUUCCUUGGGGCUGUCAUUUUUACACAGCCAGUUAAGCCACCACUUGUGAUCCAUAUUGGAGGGCUGGUUUGAGAACCUGCUACUUUGCUGCUAAUCCAGCUUCUUGCUAAUAUGCAUGCAAAAGCAGUAGCAGAUGUAGGAGAUGAGAAUGGAAUUUCUGGCUCCUAGCUUCUGCCUAGCCAGAUUUGGUGGUUGUGGACAUUUAGGAACUGAACCAGUGGAUAGAAGAUCCCUCUCUUUUUGUCUCAUCAUCCCUAUGUCAAUCCGCCUUUCAAAUAAAUACAUAAAUAAACUUUUAAAAAUGUCCCACCUCCUAGAACGAAUGGGAUUGGGGUUGGGUUCCUAAGGCCCAUGUUUUUCCAUGUGCAGCAUGUAUGGGAGUUCUUCUGGGUUGUAAUGUCAUACCUGCAGGUUUCCCAGCCUAGAGUUGCACUCUGGUAUCUCGACAGUCAUGAGGUCUUGGGGAUUUCCACAAUUGCAGCUCCACUAGGUCUCGUCCUAAAUGAAACUUUCUGAAGUGGCUGUGUCCCUGCAGCAGGUUUCUGCUUGGCACACAGGCUGUCUGUUACAUCCUUUGAAAUUUAAGUGGAGGAAAUAAUGUCUUUACGGUCCCUGCACUCUGUGCACCUGUAAAAAGAGCAUCACUUUUACACAGCCAAGGUUGACAGGCUGUACCUUCUGAAGUAGUAGCUGAAGCCAUAGGCAGGACCACUUGAGCCCCAACUGAGGUGAUAGAGACAUACUGUACCAGAUUGCCGAGAGCAGACCCUUGAGGUAGUGUGAAACAGCAAAGCCUGAAGUCCCAUGGGUGCCUCUAUGGAACCUUUGACCUCAAGCCCGUACUCACCUAAAUGUUUUCAGAGUUGUUUUCUCAUUGUCUGGAUGAACAGCAUCUGGCUUCCUUCUUUGCAUACUGAUCUCCUUAUUAAAUGGUUGGUUGGCCAGCACCUUGGUUUUCUGAUCUAAGCAUACUCUAUAUAUUCUUUAAAUGAGCAGACUGAAAAUUUUGUAAAUCUUUUUAUGUUUGAUUUGCCUUUUUAUAUCCCAAUUUCAGAUCAUUUAUCUCCUCUUAUAUUUUACCAUCUGCCAUUAAAAGAAACCACAUAUCACUUUGAUUUCUUUCCUGCUUAGAGAUUUCUUUUAGCCAGAGACCCUAGUUCAUCACUCAGAAAUUCUGCACUUUAACAUCCUAGGCCAUGGACACAAUUCAGUCCAGUCUACUACAAUUUCCAAAAUCUUGUUCCUUAUUUAUGUUUAAGCCCUCAUCCAUGAUGCC